GAGGACAUCGUUCGGGGCUUUUGCGACCGGAUCGCCGCCGCCGGUCUGCCAAUCGUUCGGGUCCAUUUGUCCUUU
rnacentral:tRNA from 1 species